AGUUCAUUCCUGUGUUUCGCAGUCUGCUUUUCUUUGCCCACCCUACAUUGAUGUCCUGACUAAUGAAGAUUCAUGGAUGAAUCAAGGUUGGGGUAUUUAAAUGUCAAUAUUCUUGCAGAACCUGAUUUUCAACAAUAUAAACAGAAGUCUUCCUGAAGAUCAGGAUACUAUACAAUUGAUAUGCAUGACAAUGGCUACAACUCCCAAUGUAUGCAUCACUCUUACUGCAGAAGAAAUUACAGUGAACAGAAAAUAAAGGCAGAUACAAAUCUAAAUAAAUGAAUAUGUGCUUUAAA